rnacentral:tRNA from 1 species
GCGCAGGUAGGCCAAUUGGCAGAGCCGCUAGUCUUAGAAACUAGGAGUUGAGAGUUCGAAUCUCUCUCUGCGUACCA